GUGAUCCACCCGUCUCGGCCUCCCAAAGUGCUGGGACUACAGGCUUGAGCCACCGCGCCCGGCCAGGAUCCAGGUUUUAAUAUGCUCGCCAGGAGACCCCAGUGUCACUCAGGUUUGGGAACUGCCGCUCAAAGAAGGGUGCAGAGUCAGGGCUGCACCCUCUAACAAGCCAGCCGGCGUCCCAGCAAGCAGCCAGCCAGGGAUCUGGAAAGGGAAGAAUCUUCUACCACGGGAACGGGGACUGUUCCUGCCUCAGGUCUUGGCCACUCCCAGGUGUGCCCAGAGCCAAGUGUUCAGGUGACCCAGGACCUGCAGGAGAAAUCACCAGGAAGCGGUUAUGUUCACAGAAAAUUCACACUGGAUGGGACAAGCCAAGGUGCGUGGGUAUCUGCUGUCUCCAGUGGUUCCCCACGCUACACCUGAUUCUGUUUUCAGAGCUAUCUUCUUGGGAUAUCAGACACCAUCGCCUGACUGUGUCUCAUCUAACAGGUCUCAUUCCUUCUAAGCAACCCCCUGCAGAGGGAUGCGUCUCUACCCAGAAAAGAUCCACUGAAGGAACCAGAUGUUUCCAUAGGAGAAAUGCACAGCGUGGAAUUACUAUACAGAGAAAUACAUGAGCCAUCAAGAAGUACAGCGAGAAUGUGGAUGAGGCCCAUGAAGAAGCCAAUAUGCCAGACAGUGAGCAUACCAGGACUUCUGUCGAAGCAGCUGAUACCCAUUCUGCAAUGACAACAAUGCCACGACUGUUGUGUGACCAGUGAGAUGCAUUCCAAUUUCAGAAUUGUUAAAAUGUGAAGAAAACUGUGCCAGAAGCAAUAAAAUAUGGUGAUUUUUGUUCUUGACUUUUAUUAGCUAGUGGACUUGAUGAACCUAAAAUGAGAUUGUCAGAAUACAAAUGGUCUCUCAAGACGGAAGUCUCAUCCCCUGUUUAAAAGUCUUCAGUGGCUUCCAAAUAUUGGCCAAUAGAAUAAAGUUCAAAUUCCUUAGCAUCA